rnacentral:lncRNA from 1 species
UUUGGCAACGUUUGAAGGUUCAUAAGGCGUUUUUCCUUAACAUGGCAGAGAAUUAGACAGGUUUUUUUUUUUUUGGCGACAUCCUCCAUUACUUACGAUCGAAGACCGGCCGGUGGACGUUCUGCGACGGAAUUUUCCUGGCGCCUCCCGCUGUGUAACCAGUGGCGUGGCGCGAGUGAUCGACUAUCGAUAUUCUCCCAUUUGAAGCUGGGGUAAAGAAUCGAUUAAGUUGCUCGUUGCGAGCACCCUGAAUAUCGAUCCUUUUCCGUGGGUUUAAAUGGCAGAUAAAUCGAUGAAUCGCAAAGCACCCCACGCCACUGUGUGUAACGCAAUGCAGCGCGCUCGGAAUUAAGUAGAUGAUGACGAGAAUAAAAUAAAAUACAUUCAUGAAAUAUAAGAGCGAUCCACGAGCGAACGAAAGCCGAGUUCGCGCCAGAUACCCUUUCGGUCUGAUUCUGCUCAGGUGUGUUUUGUGAUAAAUUUCACGCGAAUCGAAAUGAAGUUAAGUUUCACGGUUGUCCUGGUCGCCCUGGUGGUUGCGGUAACGGUCACCAACGCAUCUCCAUGGGGCUUUCACAAAACCAAGAACAAAGAGGCAACAGUGAACAGGGGGAUCACAACAUAGACACACAUGUACAUACACAUGAACACAAAGGCCACGAUGAACACAGAGGCCACGAUGGACACAGAGGCCACGAUGGACACAAAGGCCCCGAUGGACACACAGGCCACGGCGAUCAUAGAGGUCACGAUGAACACAGAGGCCACAAUGAACACAAAGGCCUCGAUGAACACAGAGGCCACGACGAUGAACACAGAGGCCACGAUGAACACAAAGGCUACGAUAAACACAAAGGCCCCGAUGGACACAGAGGCCACGGUGGACACAAAGGCCACAAAAAAUGAAUGUCAGCACUCUCAUCUGAAAUUUAAUUUAUUACAGUUUAAACAGAUUCCUCUUCUCGUACCAGAGUUUCAUACCAGACAUUAGUAGCAAGAUUAUGAGCUGACGCUUAACAAGUCCAGAUAAGACAUUUCGUUGAAGAUAAAAAUGAGAAAAUCAAUCGGUUAUUCUGUAUUUAAAGUUAUAGAGUAAGUUUAUGUAAUACAUGUUUUCUCCUCUCUAAUGUACCUCAUUACAUUUCGAUUGAAUUUCUUUGAUCAUCUUUCACGAAAAAUAAAAAUCGAUGCAAAAGUUUCCUGACCGUUGAACUUGAGAAUGAGCAAACCCUUCAUUUUUUUGAUGAAUUUCCUUCAUUCCCAACUUCGUCAGAUUUACAUUCCGUGCGACGCACAGUGGAUCAAGUCAAUCAGAGACGUUGGACAUUAAAUUUUGAUUAAAACUGCAUAUUCUGAUGUUAAUUUCAUCACAUUUUCAAUUUCAAGGGGUAGGUUCAGAAGACAAUUUAACGAGGAAACCAAUGGAACCACUUUUAGAACCUCAAAGUUGUGUAUGAACGGAGUUAUAAGCUUCUGAAAAUUCUAAAUUUUGUCCGGCCUAUCCCAUUGACUCGAUUCACUGUGCGACGGAGGAGUCAGGAGGUCUGAAACUACACCUCUCCAAAAAUGUAUUUUCGAUUCCUGACAAGUGAACUGCAUUUUGCAAAAAGGAACCAAGAUCAUUCAAAUGUUGCUAGGAUUGUGCAACAUACAAGCUUUGCAAUAAAAUUACUGAAAUAAUGAAAACAAUCAAAUUUACAAAGGUAAAUACUUAUAUAAUUACAAAGUUAGAUUAGUGGCAAUUUGACAAAGAACGGAGGCUUCUUUCAAAAAAUGUUCCGGUCAGAAGCUUCUGAGCCCGUUUUCUCAGAACUUCAUUUUUGCAGUUACGGCUCUCUUCGCUAUCACGGCAACGCUGCUGACCGCACUGCCUUUGACGCAAUGCGUGAAGUAUUCAUGCAGUUUUGUAGGCGCUAAUAUGCGUUACAUGCCGACCGCCGCGCCUCUCUCCUUUCCAUCUCAAGUUCUCGUCAUCAUUGCUCUCUGCGCCGCGCCGUUCCAGGCCAAUUUCUGUGUUCGGUUUCUCUCUUAGUCUUAACUCGACUAAAUAAAGGUGCUGUCCAUUGUAUCAAAGAAAGACGACAAAAUUAGAGGUAUACUAUACUCUCAGGAAAUGAGAGAUUUUAUCACCUUUUCUCGUUUAUAAUUUUUUUCUGAAUCCGAUUUUUCUUUAUACCUACAUUUAAAAAAGAAAUUGCAAAAUUUGCCGCCAUGGGUCGCGGCAUAUGUGGCCGCCCCCUAAAUUCAGCCCUGCCGGAAAAUUUUUUUGAAAAAGCCUCCAUUCUUUCUCAAAUUAUCACGAAUCGUCCGAAAGACUCCUAGAAAUCGAUUGGAUGAUUGAAAAUCGACCAAUUGUAUUUCAAUUACAUAAAAAGGGUAUUAUUCGUUUCAUGAUAGGCUAUUGUUAGGCAAGACAGCCUUAAGUUCUAUCUUCUGCAUGCUUUCGUGGUUGCAUUUUGGACACACAAUCAGUGUUCGAAACUCACCUUUGAGUUUUAAGAGCCAUGUGGCGCAUCAAGCCCGAUUUUUAGGGGCCAUUGAAGAUUAUUUAGGGGCCGAAUUGACUUUUGGCCUAUAUAUUACGGCGCAUUUGGUGAAAAGUUAGACGCAAGAUGUUUUCGUAACAAAACUAGUAAGUAGCUGUAACUUGGGGAAGACAAAAGCACUGAGAAUGAUAUAGUGAAGAAUAGAAAAAGCAAGCUUUCACUUGUAGUGCUUAAAAUUCUGAGUUUUUUCAAUUCAAAAAGAUUUGUUUUUCUUUCUAUAUGUGACUUCCUGUGAAAAUCCAGAUUUUUAGGGGCCACGUUGGCGCAGAGCCUUCAUUUUUUGGGCGUCAUGGCCGAUUUUUUGGGCGCAUUUGGCGCCUGUGAGUUUCGAACACUGCACACAACAAACACAUUUUCAGGUUAUGAAUUGGCAGAGAAGGGCGGCGCUUCACUUGAAAGCACUGUUUUCAUUGGCUCUCUGAAGGAAUAUUGUCACUUACCGCUGUUUUGCCUGAAAUUAUGUCCAUUUUGCGCAGUUGCGGCAUUCUCAUAAGUCUCAUUUGAUACAAUUAAGAUUAAUUUUGCUGUUUUAGCGAUUUCAGUGAUUUCAUCUCAAAGAGAUCAGACGAAUUUUGAAGGAAAUUCGAUUUAUAAUAAACAUUAGGGAACGAGGGUGCCUUGCAUCGGGUAAAGGAGCCCCCGUAAAUGGGUUUAUAAGUCUUCUCUUGCAGAUAUGGAUGCUUCGCAAAAAAGGGAGGCUGUACAUUCCGCCGAUUCCUUAUUUUUGUAGUGUGAAUUCCGCCGAUUGCCCACCGUCCCGAACUGUAAAUUCCGCCGCUUCCCCAUUUUUGAAUAUGGUGAGUGAAAUAGAAAAAGGUGGAAUCGACUAAAAGUCUGAAUCCUUCGAAGUUUAUAUGUAUUAAUGAUAAUAUGAUACCAAUAUUCCUUUACGAUACACUCCUGCGUUAUAUUGCUAUUUUCAGUGAAGAGUCCAGACGAUGUCAAAGGCCGAAGAUCUUGUACCAAAACUUUGGUGAAUUUCGUGUUUCAGCAGAAUCCACUUAAAGAUCUGAGCACGAAGAUACCUACUACCACGAGCAUAGAUUGAACAAUUACUGUAGGACAUACGACAAAAUUAUUCAACUUGCUAAAAUACAUGUGUUUAAAUGGGAAAUGCCGCCAUAUAACGUCACUAGGCGGGGCAUUUUCUCACUUUCAAAUCUAAUUAUGCAGUAUUUCCCAUUUCAGAGAAAAAUUAUAAAAAAUACUGUGAACUCAGCGCUUUCAGCGCUCUUAGAUAAAACAAUAAACAUUUGCGUGAAAAUUCUUCAUCUUCAAUAGAUAAAAACAUAUUGUGUAUAUUUAUCUUCAUUAUUUACAGCCAUACUGCCGUGCUAAGGAAGAACGCCGCAUGAGUUUUCAGGCGUUGCCACAGUUCCUCCGAUACAAAACGAAUUUACUAUUUCUACUUACUUUUCUUCAAAUUUUUCAAGCGGUUUCGUUCGCAAUUUAAUCUAAAACCAUCUGAAAAUUGCAAGAAAAAAUAUGCACAUUCAAAAAUACAUGUGUUAUCCGAGAAAAGGCAAAUCUUGAAUGUUUAUACGGCGUUUUUCCUUCGCAAGGCAGCAUAGCAGAAUAACUCAUAAAAGAACCUAAAGAACUGCCGCUGAAAGGGGAGAUUCUCCGCAAAUUGACAGCAGUGCGUUCUUCCAAUUUUUCGGGCGAUUUUUUUCGCAAUCCAAUCUAAAACUUCUGAAUAUUUAAAGAAAAAAUAUGCACAACUUUCCUCAGAAAUACAUGUUUUAUCCGAGAAAAGGCAAAUCUUGAAUGUUCAUACGGCGUUUUUCCUUCGCAAGGCAGCAUAGCAGAAUAACUCAUAAAAGAACCUAAAGAACUGCCGCUGAAAGGGGAGAUUCUCCGCAAAUUGACAGCAGUGCGUUCUUCCAAUUUUUCGGGCG